rnacentral:lncRNA from 1 species
AGACAGAGAAAAAGAGAAAACAACAACAAAAAUGAAGCAAGAGUAAACUGCCAACUCCAACUGCCUUUCUGGAAGGCCUAAUUUGAAGAUGUCUGAAAUUCUGUAUCACUGGCUCCCAGACAUAUCAUGUUUAUUUGUACAUCACACCUUUGCCCACCUCUGCUCAGUGGACCUCCAGCCUAAAAUGCCUCCCUUGUUCCUCUGUCUCACUUCAGGCUGUUAUUGAAGUCUCCUGGUACAAUGUGACAUUUCCAGCGUCUUGUUUUCCAAUCAGAUCAGUGGCUCUCAGUGGACCAACUGAUAAGGAACAUUUGGAAAAUGUUACGAUGAUUGAGGGCUGUACUGGUAUUUGGUGGGCAGGGAAUGACAAUGUCCUGUGAUGUAUCCAUCAUAAUGGAAAAUUAUCUGAUGUCUUGGGCAAAUAACAGCAGUCCUGCCAGACAAAAUGAAGGUGAAAAAUUCAUUUAUAAUUGCCUAAGUUCAGAGCUUCUCUCUGUUUUACAUACAAGUACAAGAAAUGUUUGGCACAGUUUUAAUGUAUACUGAAUUAUAGGAAUCCAAUUACAAUAUAUUUUGCUUAACAUAGACAUCUGCUAAGAAUUAUUCAUCAUUUUGUAGAUCACAGCACUACGUAACUGCUUCAGAGAUAUAAUAAAACUCAUCAGUCUUCCUUAGCAUCUGUAGGUCAGUCAUCUCACAUCUCACAGCUUCUUCUGCCUUCUGGUAUAUUUGUGUAUGAAUGUUUAUAUACUACAACAAAUAGCAUUUUUAUAAAUUCCUUUUAUUUACUUUAUAAUCAGGACAUAACAUUACUUUUAAAAGUUAUAUGUAGGUUAAAUUACAUUAUUAAUAAAUUUCAUUGUUUUAGUGUAGCAAGACAAUGUUACAAAAUAUUUCUUUAAAACCAAGAAGGGGCAUUGAGCCUGGGAGUUGAGAACUAUAGAACCAUAUUGUAUGCAUUCAUGGGAGAAAACGACUGGAAAGGGGACAAGGUGAAGUGGAAAACUAGAAUGUAU